AUGGUCCCCUGCCAAAGAGUUCUGCUAAAGACCGAGCGUGGUCGACCACGCACGUAUCCGGAGGUACAACCCCUACAGAUCCCAAGUAGCCAGGGCACACUCAAACGCCGAGCGGUUCCUAUAGCAACGACAAACCGGAAGUGUGGCUCUGCGGCCGGAAGCGGAAGUUGACGAUCGGGAAGUUGGACAGGAGCGGUGUUGGGCGUGCGCGCUGAGAGAUGGACACUCCCCCUCUGUCAGGUUCGGACUCGGAUUCUGAUGAUUCUCUUGUCACAGACAGAGAGUUGCAGGAUGCAUUUUCCCGAGGGCUCCUGAAGCCGGGCCUCAAUGUCGUGCUAGAGGGGCCGAAGAAGGCCGUGAACAAUGUGAAUGGUCUGAAGCAGUGUUUAGCUGAAUUCGAGCGGGAUCUGGAGUGGGUUGAAAGGCUCGAUGUGACCCUGGCUCCAGUGCCCGAAAUCAGUGGACCUCAACCAACACCUCAGAACAAGGAUCAGCGAGCUGUUAAUCCAGAAGACGACUUCCAGAGGGAGAUGAGUUUCUACCGCCAGGCCCAGGCUGCAGUUCUUGCAGUAUUACCCCGCCUCCAUCAGCUCAAGGUCCCUACCAAGCGACCCACUGAUUAUUUUGCAGAAAUGGCCAAGUCUGAUCAGCAGAUGCAAAAGAUUCGACAGAAGCUGCAGACUAAACAGGCUGCCAUGGAGAAGUCUGAAAAGGCUAAGCAACUGCGAGCACUUAGGAAAUAUGGAAAGAAGGUGCAAACAGAGGUUCUUCAGAAGAGGCAGCGGGAGAAAGCACAUGUGAUGAGUGCCAUUAAGAAAUAUCAGAAAGGCUUCUCUGAUAAACUGGAUUUCCUUGAGGGAGAUCAGAAACCCGUUGCUCGAAGCCCGAAGGCAGGAGCUAAAGGCCAGCAGAUGAAGAAAGGGCCCAGUGCUAAACGACGAUAUAAAAACCAGAAGUUUGGUUUUGGUGGAAAGAAGAAAGGUUCCAAGUGGAACACUCGAGAGAGCUACGAUGAUGUGUCCAGCUUCCGCGCCAAGACAGCUCAUGGCAAGGGUCUCAAGAGGCCUGGAAAGAAAGGACCAAGUAAGAGACCUGGAAAACGAAGAAGAGAGAAGAUGAAGAGCAGGACACGCUAAACGGCAUCUUUUUAUACAAGAGAAAGAGAUGAAGGCUUGGAAUUUCACAUACGAUUGAUUCCUUCUGUUGUUUUUGUUAAUAUAAAAAAUUCUUUCAAUAAAUUAACAGAAAAUGAUCAAAGAAACAUAUACUCUUGGUUAAAAACUCAGAAAUAAAAGAUUUAGAAGUAA